GACGAACGCUGGCGGCGUGCCUAAUACAUGCAAGUCGAACGAACCGCGACUGAGUGCUUGCACUUGGUCAAGGUGAGUGGCGAACGGGUGAGUAACACGUGGGUAACCUACCUCAUAGUGGGGGAUAACAGUCGGAAACGACUGCUAAUACCGCAUAGGACAUGGACUCACAUGAUUCUGUGAGGAAAGGUGGCGCAAGCUAUCGCUAAGAGAUGGACCCGCGGUGCAUUAGCUAGUUGGUAGGGUAAGGGCCUACCAAGGCGAUGAUGCAUAGCCGACCUGAGAGGGUGAUCGGCCACAUUGGGACUGAGACACGGCCCAAACUCCUACGGGAGGCAGCAGUAGGGAAUCUUCCGCAAUGGACGCAAGUCUGACGGAGCAACGCCGCGUGAGUGAAGAAGGUCUUCGGAUCGUAAAGCUCUGUUGUUAGAGAAGAACAGCGCAUAGAGUAACUGUUAUGCGUGUGACGGUAUCUAACCAGAAAGCCACGGCUAACUACGUG
rnacentral:rRNA from 1 species